CCUACGGGAGGCAGCAGUGAGGAAUAUUGGUCAAUGGGCGGGAGCCUGAACCAGCCAAGUCGCGUGAAGGAUGAAGGAGCAAGGGUUUGUAAACUUCUUUUAUAUGGGAAUAAAGUGAGGAACGUGUUCCUUUUUGUAUGUACCAUAUGAAUAAGCAUCGGCUAACUCCGUGCCAGCAGCCGCGGUAAUACGGAGGAUGCGAGCGUUAUCCGGAUGUAUUGGGUUUAAAGGGUGCGUAGGUGGUUUGUUAAGUGAGCGGUGAAAGGUUGUGGCUCAACCAUAAAAUUGCCGUUGAAACUGGUUGACUUGAGUAUAUUUGAGGUAGGCGGAAUGCGUGGUGUAGCGGUGAAAUGCAUAGAUAUCACGCAGAACUCCGAUUGCGAAGGCAGCUUACUAAACUAUAACUGACACUGAGGCACGAAAGCGUGGGGAUCAAACAGGAUUAGAUACCCGAGUAGUC
rnacentral:rRNA from 1 species